rnacentral:rRNA from 1 species
UACGAGGGGGGCGAGCGUUGUUCGGAAUUAUUGGGCGUAAAGGGUGCGUAGGCGGCUUUUUAAGUUUGGUGUGAAGUCUCCCGGCUCAACUGGGAGGGUGCGCCGAAUACUGAGAGGCUAGAGUGUGGGAGAGGAAAGUGGAAUUCCUGGUGUAGCGGUGAAAUGCGUAGAUAUCAGGAGGAACACCGGUGGUGUAAACGGCUUUCUGGACCAUAACUGACGCUGAGGCACGAAAGCGUGGGUAGCAAACAGG